rnacentral:lncRNA from 1 species
GCAUAGAAUAUAUAGAUAUAUUCAAUCAAGUAGUAGGGUCAAAUGGCGAUGAGUUGGAUGAGACUAUUUUCUACAUAGUUGCCUCACCUGUCUGCCAAAGCCUCUUUUUUUUGUUCAUGUGGCAAAGAAAUGAGUGUGAAACUGUGAAUAACAUGAGUCACUUAUCUUUUUUUUUUGACAUAUGAGUCACUUAUUUGUAUAGGUAAUUAACAGCUGGUACGAGUCAAAUGGCAACGAUUCGAUGAGAUUGUUUUUCUCCAUGGUCUCACCUAUCUGCAAAAGUCAAAUUUCUAUGGCAAAGAAAUGACCGUAUUGAACUAAUAAAAUGUGUAUGUGUCUUUCCCUAUAACUUUGACCGAGUCACUGAUAUAUGCUAAUCCAUUAAAAUGAAGGGGCAGAUUAUUUAUGCUCUACCUAAUCAGGCCUUAGCUAUAUAGAUAGAGACACGCACAUAAUAUUCACAGUCAUUGCUUUGUCAUAGAAAUAUGACUUUUGCAGACACAUUGCCAAUAUCAAUAUCAAUAUCAACAAAUCAAUCCCGACUGCGGCCUUUUUUUCCGGAGUGUCCAGUCCAUCUCACCCCUUUCUUUAUUUUUCCACCAGCCCAUCCACCUUCCUUAGAUCCACCACCAACAUCACCUCCAUGCCUGCAAAAUCCACCACUCACGUCCUAUUCCACCACCUGAACAAAAUCCACCAUAACCUCAUGGCCUCUACCAUCUUUUUUAAUUCCCCCUCCAAUACCACAUGGUCUUCCUCUUACAGAAACCUACCAUGAUGGACACCUCCAACCCUAUGCCUACCACGAAAGCCACCUCCCUCACCUGCUCCACCACCACUGCUGCCUCCAAAGCCACGAAAUGGCAGUUUUGGGAAUACAAUGGACACAGGGCAAAAUCGUCAUUCACAUUCACCCAAUUGCAGCAUUGUAAAUAAGUUGCAAUUAGGGACAUCACUGUCAUUUUCCCAGAGAAAUGAACAGUUUUUCUCAGCUGCAGACGUCCGGACCAAUAGUUUUGGUGCGGAUUUUCAUUUUUGCACCACUUUUCGAUCGAAUUUCCUCAUCUCCACCGUCCAGUAUCUAGAUAAUAUUGUGUAGAUCAUCUAUGCAAAAUUUCAGCAAAUUUGGUAAUCGUUAAGGCCCUCAAACUUGAAAAACAAUGGAUGGACUGAAUUCUNN